rnacentral:lncRNA from 1 species
GGAAAAAAUGUGAUUUGUGAACCAUUGUAAGUAUAUUUUAAUAUGUAAACAUUUACAUAACUAUUUUAAAAGGCUUAUAGAGUUAAAAGUUCAAAAUUCAUUUUCUUUAUUCAAAUUUAAUUUUUUAUUCUAUUUUAAAAGCGUUUGCUGGAAAUUUUUAAAUGCUCACUAGAUACUUGAGAAUUUCUGCUUUGACAUAUGUGUUGUAUCUUCUUGUGAUGUAAAGGAAUAAUAGAACACAAAGGAGCGUGAGAAAUUGUGAAUGCUGGUAGUGGAGUCAGAGAGGCUUGGUUGGAAUUGUGGCUCUGCAACUAGUAGCUGUGUGACCUCAGGAAAGUAAGGGAAUUUUUCUGAGGCUUUUUACUUUUGAGUAUAGUGAGAAAUACAUAUCUAUUUGCUUUAAUGAAAACUUAAAAAUAUAUAUAUUAUUUCAUUUUAAAGUUCGGUUAUUGUUUUCAUUAUCCUUAAAUAAUAUACUAAUAAGAAGAAUGUAAAAAUAUUUUAGGAAAAAUUAACAGGUUGAUUGAAAUUAAUCAAUUUUACUUUCUGAUAGUUUGCUGCUGUUGCAACUUUACCAUUUGAUGUAGUAAAAACACAAAAGCAGACACAACUUUGGACAUAUGAAAGUCAUAAAAGCCUAAUUCCUCGCUUAAUUAAAAUUGCUCCUGCUUGUGCCAUUAUGAUCAGUACAUAUGAAUUUGGAAAGGCUUUUUUCCAGAAACAAAAUGUUCGAAGGCAGCAAUACUAG